rnacentral:rRNA from 2 species
AAAUUGAAGAGUUUGAUCAUGGCUCAGAUUGAACGCUGGCGGCAGGCCUAACACAUGCAAGUCGAACGGUAGCACAGAGAGCUUGCUCUCGGGUGACGAGUGGCGGACGGGUGAGUAAUGUCUGGGAAACUGCCUGAUGGAGGGGGAUAACUACUGGAAACGGUGGCUAAUACCGCAUAACGUCGCAAGACCAAAGAGGGGGACCUUCGGGCCUCUUGCCAUCAGAUGUGCCCAGAUGGGAUUAGCUUGUUGGUGAGGUAACGGCUCACCAAGGCGACGAUCCCUAGCUGGUCUGAGAGGAUGACCAGCCACACUGGAACUGAGACACGGUCCAGACUCCUACGGGAGGCAGCAGUGGGGAAUAUUGCACAAUGGGCGCAAGCCUGAUGCAGCCAUGCCGCGUGUAUGAAGAAGGCCUUCGGGUUGUAAAGUACUUUCAGCGGGGAGGAAGGUGUUGUGGUUAAUAACCGCAGCAAUUGACGUUACCCGCAGAAGAAGCACCGGCUAACUCCGUGCCAGCAGCC